rnacentral:lncRNA from 1 species
GCAACCAAAUAUUUCAACGCUGGCACAGGGGAAAACUUCUAUUGCUAAGCUGGGAUUGGCCACUUUAGCAAUUAGUUCUGCUUGGGACUGUCUGUUAGUAUCUUUGGUAUAGAAAAAAAAAAACUUUAAAAGACAGUCUGAAGACUAAUCCCAGGUGUGCACCUAUUUGAGCAGCUCUUGAGAUGGAAACUUUUAUCCCUCAAGCUACAGCAUUGGAGAGCUUCUAAAGAUACAGAACACUGGGAUCCAUACCCAGACCUACUGACCAGAUGCCUCCAUAAGUCCCCGAAGGAAUAUCAUUUGGCAGCCACUGAUAUAGGGUAAAUAACAUGAAGCUACUAUUUUUUGGUCUGUCCUGUGGAAACAGCUUGCAAUCCUCACAAGAACCUCGUAAUGUGAAUAUGCCAGCGUGUUGCUACAGACCGUGCUUACUUCAGCCAAUUUCUCUGCUGAAUAUCCUCCUUUUACUGAUGAGGAAACCAAGUCAAGAAGUCAUAAAUGACACACCCAAGGCUGGGAAGUGGUUGAGCAGCACCAAUUUCAGAGGAUGAUGUCAUUGGACAACGACUCCAUAAUACAUGCCA